rnacentral:lncRNA from 1 species
CUCAAAGUCUGCCAUGCGGUCACUUGUCUCACUGAUAUGUGACUCACUGUCCAUUUCAUGGCUUGAAAAUUCAGCUGCUGGAGAGUUUUGGUAGCUUUGGCAGUUCUUACUGAAGUCUUUUUCUGGACAUGCAUAUUUUGCAGAAGGCUCUCCAUCAGCUGUGUUUUCAUCAGCUUCUACAUCUUCUUCCACCAGUGCUGCUGCUUUUAGUUCAUCUGAAACAUAGGCUGCUGCGCGCCGGGGCGCCUGCUGCUUCCUCCUCGGCAUGCUGCGGGCGGCGGGGGGGGCUGCCUCGGCGCGGGGGUGGGAAGAGUUGCUUUAGCCCCAGAGAUCCGCUGCGCUGCUCCAGUCUCGGCUCGAGGGCUGGGUCGGGGAUAUAUUUUUUGUUGCUGUGCAUGCACGAUGCCGAGGAGGAGGAGGAGGAGGCGGCGGCGGAGGAGGAGGAGGCGGCACAGAGGAGAGGACAGCCCUGCUGCUGCUGCUGCUGCUGCUGCUGCUGGCAGAAGAGGGGGGAAGUUUGACAAAUCGCCCCGGAGGAAGGAGGAGGGGAAGCCCCCCGAAGAGGUGCGCGGGCGGGAGGGCCGGGGAGAGCCCGCGGCGCCGCACUCCGCCCCGCGCCCUCCGCCUGCCCCGGCGCGGGGCUGCUCACGGCAUGGGGCCGGCAGCGCCGGGCGGCACUCGGAGAGCCGCAGCCGGCGCUCGGCGCUCCGCGGCUCCGGGCUCGGCGCUGGAAGAGCGGCGGCGGCAACAGGCGAAGCUUGAAGGGAAACGAGACGAUCGCAGCGUCACUCAAACAUCCCGCCCGAGGGACGCGGCGCCGCGCUCCCGCAACUCCCGGCGCGGCGCGGACCCCCCCUCCGCCGCCCAACUUCGCCGCCGCUCCGCUCGGCGCCGCCCCCCCGCCCCGCACACGCCCGCCGCGUUCCCCUCGGCCCGGCCCCCCCGCCCCGACCCCGCCAGGUGACGGAGGCGGCCCCGCACCUCGGCCCGGCCCCGCUCCGGGGCCGCGGCUCCCACCUGGCUGGCGCCUGCGGGCGGGCGGGGCGGGGGGGGGCGCGGGGCGCUGCGGCCGUCAACGGCAGCGCCUUCAGCCGCGGGGCGGCGGCGGGCAGCGCCCUCACACCGCUCCGCGGGGCGCCCGCGCGCAGGCCGCCUUCUUUUCUCUCUCUUUUCGGAGCAUUUUGUUUUUUUCUUUUUUUUUUUUCCUUUUCUUUUUUUCCUUUUUUUUUUUUUUUUUUUUGGUCCAAGUUCACUGGCAAGCCGCCACCGCGCUCCGUUCGGCGAGCGGCGGCGGAUCGAUGCGCUGCGGGCUCGAUUGGGCGCCGCCUCUCGCAGCCCCCGUGUAUUGGCAGCAGGAGGGGGAGAAAAAACAGUAGCAAAUAUUUUUUUUUUCCUAAAGUUCACGGGGAGGAAUUAAAAAAAAAAAAAAAAAAAAAAAGAUGAUGAUGAUCUCAGUGUUACGGAAGAAAAAUGUAUUGAACUUCCGAUCGGACGGAUUUCAGCUGGAAACGCGGAGUCCUUCACGUGCAUUAGCUUCUCCGGGGGUCACGGUCCAUUUCAGAGAGCCGGAGCCCGUAAUUGUAUUAAGUGUCACAUUUACAAACAUAACGCUUACAAAACAAACGCACAAAAUCGAUGACUGCACGGGCUCUAUCUGCAAAGACUCCGCACACGAGGCUCGGCGCUGAGCUCGCCCUUCCCGGCAGUUCCAAAGCCAGGUACCGAUUAUUUCCCAGUCCCACCGUCAGACGACCACCCCUGCUCAGCGUCCCGCCCGCUCGGCACCGCGCCCGCCCCGAGCUCCGUCGCUGCCCCUUCCACCGCCCGUCCGCUCCGCAGCUCCCCGAGCGCGGCGGCGGCGGCUGAGCUGCGGGGGGCCCCGCGCGCGGACAGCGCGGCAGCGGCCAGCGGGGAUCCCCGGCUAAGUUCGCCAACUUGGCUCAGCCCCGAGCAGGGCGGGGGUUCGCCGGGAACCGCGGGGCGCACCGAGCGCCGGGCCCGGGCCCUCAGCCCCCCGCUGCAGGCGCGGAACAGAGCGGGGCGGCUGCUGGCACCGCCGGCUGUAGGGAGCGCACGGUGUCCCCCGGGUGCGCGGGGGCCGCUGCGGCUUCGCCCGGUGCGGAACAAAAGAGGAGCGGCGCGCAUCGGCGCUGCCGGGACGGACGCGCCUCUGCCAAGUUUGUUUAAGAACACGGCUGCCCGCGCCCGACAACGAUCUUCGGCUUUUGUGCAAUACAAAGCGUUGUCAAUAACCAUUACGGCGGCGGCAAUUAUCUGAGGAGAGAACAAAGGCAUUUUGUAAUAUCUACAUAACUUUAUUAGAGCAAAAUUAUUUUUAAAUGCCUACGAAUUCCCAAACCUCCUGAGUACAAAUGAAUAAAAGUUUUUUCUUCGGGCUAAGAUCUUUGCUUGAAUGUAAAUUGUUUGGGUAAGUAAAUUUACACAGCAGCAAAGUUUGUUUGGCUCAGUCCGGUAGCUGCGCUGUAACGAACCAGAUGUUUUGGCUGCAAAUUAUCCGGAGGACUUUGCCAGUUCUGCCACGCAUCGCGCCCCGGAACGCCAGAACCGGGGCAGCGAGGGCCGGGCAGCUCCCCCAGGCCCGGGAGCGAACCCCCAGCCCCAGCCCACCCCUCCCGGAGCCCCGCGGGCCGCGCACCGGCAAAGCGAGAACGGCGCGGCGGAGCAGAGCAGCGCGGCCCGGCCCUCCCCGCGGCCUUUCCCCGGGCACCGGCGGGGCCGGAGCGCGACCCGCAGCCGCUGCGGCCGGAGCUGAAGUCGGGCGGCUCGUGGAGAGCCGCGGUCGGCCCCGCCCGGCCCGGGCCGCCCCGCCCGCCGCCUCCGCGCCCACAGCGGCACUUUUGGGGGACGGUGCGCGGUGCCCUGAGAUCCGUCGCCGCGGUGCCGUCCCGCUGAAUUAUCGCUUCUUUUUUUGUCCCCCUUGAAAGGACUUGGGGGUCUCUGAAGAAACAAUCGGCCGCUGCUCUGAAGGAAAGGAGCGAUACCAUUCAGAGCUACUGUAGCGUAAUGUGUUCACUUGGGCAGUAGGAAAACCCUUUAUGAAAAUUAGUUACAGAGCCCGAAACUCCCCCCCGUGUGCCAACCGCAGCCAUUGUGCGCACAGGGCUCAGCGCAGCCCGCCCGCACGAAGUUGGCCCCGCUCCGGCUCGGGGAGCUCCACCGUGCAGCCCCCGGCGCUGGGGAGAGGCGGGAGGCGGCGGCGGGGCCGAGGCGGGGGGGAAAGGGAUCCCCGCCCGCUCCCUGCAUCACCCGGGGGUCGGCGCUGCCCGGCGAACGCGGCCGUGCCCUUGAGAGCGCCUGUGACCUCACGGCGGGGAGAUUUGGUUGUGCCCAGAUCCAUCCUGCAGCGGGAAAAAGCGCGGAGCGGAGCUUCUCC